AAACCCUGGUUUUUGUUUUGUUGAGAACCUUUAUUGUUGCCCAGGCUUGCCUUGAAUUUGCUGAGUAACAGAGGGUGCCCUUGACUUCAUUGAUCUUUAUGCCUCUCGAUUGGUAUUAUUAAAGGCUUGCUCUGCUACAUUUGAUUUUGUGUGUUCUGUAUCCAACCCUGGGCUUGUUUAUGCAUGUUAGGCAAGCACUCUACCUACUAAGCUAUGUCUCCAGCCCCUCAAAAUUAAUUUAUAUGUACAACAUACUUUAUAGUAGACUGAAGUUUAUCUUAAUUGACAAAUGUGACAGUUGGAGACUCCUGAGGAAUGAGUUGGGCAUUCGUACUUAACUAUCUAAUUGAAAUAGCAAUGAUAUGUAAGGUCAAGGAAAGUGGAGAGUUGCCAGGGACAUUGCUCUAAUUAUGUCAUUCUUUUUUUUUCUUUUCUUUUUUUUAAAGAUUUAUUUAUUUUAUUUAUAUGAGUACACUAUAGCUUUCAGACAUACCAGAAGAGGGCAUCAGAUCCCAUUACAGAUGGUUAUGAGCCACCAUGUGGUUGCUGGGAAUUGAACUCAGGACCUCUGGAAGAACAGUCGUUGCUCUUAACUGCUGAGCCGUCUCUCCAGCCCUAAUUAUGUCAUUCUUAAAGUAGUGUUCAAAAUAUAUAACAGUUCAUCUGGUUUAAGGUUGAAUGUUUCUUGUGGGAAAUGGGAGGAUUUUAUGUUCUCUGUAUGUAGAGUAGAAAGCAUUUGACACAGAAGCAGGAUUACUGGGUUCAAGCCUCACAGCUCAUGUGAAGAUGGAAAGGCACUCUACGAGUUGUCUUCUGAUGUCCACACACCUGCUGUGGCAUAUACAUGCAUGCACAAUGGCUCUUAAAGAUCUCAACUAUGAGAAAAACAAACAUAAAAUGGUAUUUAAUACCUGGACGGUGAGAACAACAUGGUAUUUGGGAAAGAGGUAUGGCUUGGCAACAACAGAAAAGAGGAUCUUCCCCUUUGCCCUUUGUGGCCACAUUGAGAAUUUUACUCGGGGCUUUGUGUGUAGACUAGGGAUAUAUUCUACCACCUAGCUUUACUCCUGGCCUUAGCAUGUCUUGUAAGGAGCAGAGUUCACUAUUGUACAAUGAGAUCUUGGCAGGGUUAUUUUGACAGUUAAACUGAAAAAUCCAUACAAAGCUUGUUUAUAUAGCAACCAAUAUAUAGAACUUCAUUAAUGGUAGUGUCUUCUAGUCUAGGAAAAGGAAAUGUUUGCAAAGAAUGUAUUUGAGACUAAUCCAGGCAGUGAGUUAUAGGUUGUUUGGCUUUUCUUGAGUAAGUGGUUUGUUUGGGGUUUUUUGGUUGUAUUGUGUUGUGUUUUGUUUUGUUUUGUUUUGUUUUUAAGACAGGGUUUCUUUGUAUAGCCCUGGCUGUCCUGGAACUCACUCUGUAGGCCAGGAUGGCCUGGAACUCAGAAAUCCACCUGCCCCUGCCUCCAAAGUGCUGGGAUUAAAGGUGUGUGCCACCACUGCCCGGCUUCUUGAGUAAGUUUUGUGUGUAGAGGAAGAAAUUGAUCAAGGGAGAGUUAGGCAGGAACUUCUUUCUGAAGAACUAUAUUUAUUAGUAAGGGUCUGCUGCCAAGAUUUUCCUCAAAGAACUGAUAGUGUAAUUGGACAUCAAAGAAUUUUGACUUGCGACUUUAUCUAGGCUUUCAAGGCUACUGUUUUUGGGAGUGAUAUUUUGAGAUAGGGUCUCAUCUCACUGUGUAGUUCUAGCUGUCCUAGAACUCAAAACCAGAGACUAGGCUGGCCUCUGUGUCAUAGAGAUCCGCUUGUGUCUACAUCCAGGAGUGCUGGGAUCAAGAUCUGUGCCAUUAUUGCCAGCUUCAAGACUCUUCUUAAGAUCCAAGGCUUGGUGGGCCUUGUGACUUUUAGGAGGAGGAGCAGAUGUUACACGUAUUCUUUGUUGUCUUUAAUUCCCAGGAUAUGAUGGAUGAUAUCUGUCAGGAGCAGUUUCUAGAAUUGUCCUACUUGAACGGAGUACCUGAACCCUCUCGUGGUCGUGGGGUAUCUGUGAGAGGACGAGGAGCUGCCCCUCCUCCUCCACCUGUUCCCAGGUAACAAUAGUUGAAAAGGAAAUAAAUACAGAUUUGACUGACUGAGGAGGGUUAGGGUUUAGAAGUACAUCAGGUAUGGAGCUCUCGAUCUUAGCAGUCUGACCAGAGUCAGGUGCUGCAGUCCUGCUGAAACUUUGGGGCUUUUAAUUUGGGAAGUCCUAGCAUUUAAAAAAAAAAUCACAUAUCUAUUCAUCCAUCCAUUUGUGGGUGGUGGUGGUGGUGGUGGUGUGUGUGUGUAUGUGGGGGGAGAGUGUGUGAGCAUGGAUAUGUUAGUUAAAUGACAAAGUAGUAGGAAUCCUAUCAUGUUGGUCUUGGGGAUUGAACUCAGAAUGUCAGUCUUACUCAGCUGGUGUGUUUACCUACUAAGCCAUCUCAUUCAUCCCCAGUUGCCUUUUUUCUUUUUUUUAAAAAGAAUGUUGGGCUGGCGAUAUGGCUCAGAGAUUAAGAGCACCAACUGCUCUUCCAGAGGUCCUAAGUUCAAAUCCCAGUAGCCACAUGGUGGCUCACAACAAUCUGUAAUGGGAUCUGAUGCCCUCUUCUGGUGUGUCUGAAGACAGCUACAGUGUACUUACAUAUAAUAAAUAAAUCUUAAAAAAUAAAAAAGAAUAUUAAUCACCCCUGUCUCAAAAAAACCAAAGUAGAUAUUAAUCACUAUGUAGCCCUGCUACGUAGAUGAAGCCCAUCUGAAACUCAAAAGAGAUCCACCUGCUUCUGUCUCCCAAGUGCUGUGAUUGAAGUCAUAGGCCAUCAUCAAGCUUGACUAUAUGAUAUGCUCUUAGAAUUAAAAUUCAUUGUGGUUAAUAUUUAUUCAGAAAGUAGACCUGUCUGAGGUGCUGUGAUCCACGAUUGAGCCCAGAGAAUCUUCUGGUUUAGGUCCUUAAAUGUAUAUUAUUAUUUUGAAGUCAGUUUUAGAGUUAGAGAUGUGCCACAGUUAAUAGAGUGUUAGCCUUGCAUGCAUGUAUCUCUGGGUUUGAUCUUAGCACUAUGCAAACGCCAGGGUAUGGUGACACAAUUAUAAUCCCAGCACCUAGGAAGUGAAGGCAGAAGUACAAGGUCAUCCUCGGUUUCGUACUGGGUUCAAGACCAGACUGGAUUAUGUGAAACCUUGUCAAAAAC
rnacentral:lncRNA from 1 species